rnacentral:rRNA from 1 species
GCGAACGGGUGAGUAACACGUGAGUAACCUGCCCUGGGCUUUGGGAUAACCCUCGGAAACGGGGGCUAAUACCGAAUAUCCACUUCUUACCGCAUGGUGGGUGGUGGAAAGUUUUUCGGCCUGGGAUGGGCUCGCGGCCUAUCAGCUUGUUGGUGGGGUGAUGGCCUACCAAGGCGACGACGGGUAGCCGGCCUGAGAGGGCGACCGGCCACACUGGGACUGAGACACGGCCCAGACUCCUACGGGAGGCAGCAGUGGGGAAUAUUGCACAAUGGGCGGAAGCCUGAUGCAGCGACGCCGCGUGAGGGAUGACGGCCUUCGGGUUGUAAACCUCUUUCAGCAGGGACGAAGCGUAAGUGACGGUACCUGCAGAAGAAGCGCCGGCCAACUACGUGCCAGCAGCCGCGGUAAGACGUAGGGCGCGAGCGUUGUCCGGAUUUAUUGGGCGUAAAGAGCUCGUAGGCGGCUUGUCGCGUCGGCUGUGAAAUCCCGUGGCUCAACUGCGGGCUUGCAGCCGAUACGGGCAGGCUAGAGUUCGGUAGGGGAGACUGGAAUUCCUGGUGUAGCGGUGAAAUGCGCAGAUAUCAGGAGGAACACCGGUGGCGAAGGCGGGUCUCUGGGCCGAUACUGACGCUGAGGAG